rnacentral:rRNA from 1 species
UACGUAGGGGGCAAGCGUUGUCCGGAAUUAUUGGGCGUAAAGAGCGUGUAGGCGGUCCGGUAAGUCCGCUGUGAAAGUCCAGGGCUCAACCCUGGAAUGCCGGUGGAUACUGCCGGGCUAGAGUCCGGAAGAGGCGAGUGGAAUUCCUGGUGUAGCGGUGAAAUGCGUAGAGAUCAUGAGGAAGACCAGUGGCGAAGGCGGGUCUCUGGACAGUUCCUGACACUGAGACACGAAGGCCAGGGGAGCAAACGGG